GAAGUGUUAAGGUUUUUAUUAUCUCAUGAAAUCAAUUUACAAAUCUAUUUCAUCAUCAUUAAAUUGCGAAAACAUUGAUUUGUCGGUUAGUGUGUUUACCGCUGGAUUCUGGUCAAUACCAGCAACUACUCUAAAUUGCAAUGUAUUCAAUAUAGUUUUAUUGAAAUUUGAUGAAUCUCGACCGGUUUAUUCGGGCAAACAUAAAGGUGUCAACUUCGGCUAUGAUUGCGACUGGGUUAAGCAGACAUGACUAGAGUUUUCAAUGAUACCACCAAAAAUAAUAAUUCAACGUCUACUUAAUCUCCAAUAGCAGCAGUUUUGCAGUUAUUUCAACAUCUUCAAUUUUUGAAACGACUGUGAAUUAUAGUAGAAAUUCAUCAUCUGUACACAAUUAUGUCUUCUAAGUAUCAACUUGAGACAAGUUGACACUUAGAAGACAUAGUCGAUACCCGAAUUAUGAAUUAUUAUUUAUCACUACAAUUCAAAAUAGUUUCAGAAUUUAAAAUUGAAAACGCAAUAUUGCUCGAUUUGACAUUACAAUAGAAAUUGAACUACUAUCCCUAUCAACUAUCAUUGAAAAUUGCAGUUAUGUCUGCUAAACUACUUGUGACUGAAGUCAAAGUUGACGUCCUAUGUGUUUGCCCGAAUACAACGUUCGAAAUUCAUCAAAUUCCAAUCACGCUUUAAUGGGUAUAUUAUAAUUUGGAGUUGUGGCUGGCUUUUACCAGAAUCCAAUAGCUAACACACGUACCAUUAAAUCAAUGUUGUUGCAAUUUAUUGAUGGUAAAACAG